UACGUAGGGCGCAAGCGUUGUCCGGAAUUAUUGGGCGUAAAGGGCUCGUAGGCGGUUUGUCGCGUCGGGAGUGAAACCUUGGGCUUAACUCAGGGCUUGCUUUCGAUACGGGCAGACUAGAGGUAUGCAGGGGAGAACGGAAUUCCUGGUGUAGCGGUGGAAAUGCGCAGAUAUCAGGAGGAACACCGGUGGCGAAGGCGGUUCUCUGGGACGGUGCUGACGCUGAGACGCGAAAGCGUGGGGAGCGAACAGG
rnacentral:rRNA from 1 species